rnacentral:lncRNA from 1 species
CUUUGUUUCGAUUACUAAUAAAACUUUUGCAACAAGUAUAUGAGUUCUUCAUGACUAAUGUUGAGUCCAUGGUUUAGAUGCACUUUCACCUUCCACCAUCACUAUCUUCUUAGUGUCGUUCAACUUUCGCCGGUGUACAAAACCCACCAUUAGCCUCCCUCAAAACAGCCACCAUACCUACCUACUAUGGCUUCUUCAAAGUCAUUCCGAGAUAUAUUGCCAUGCAACUACCACCAUGACAUGUGCCACCAUGUCUACAUUGCCAUUGCAUGAUCGUAAGAUAGCUACCAUGAUGUUUCCAUUGAUGUCUAUGCCAUGCUAGAUCAUUGCCACGGUACACUACCGAAGGCAUUCCAUAUAGAGUCAUAGUUGCUCUAAGUUUUGAGUCGAAAGUGUGAUGAUCAUCAUUAAUGGAGCAUUGUCCCAUGUGAGGAAAUAAAAUAGGCCAAAGAAGCCCACCAAAAUAAAAAAAAAGAGGCCAAAGAGCCCACCAAAAUUAAAAAAAAAUGAGAGAAAAAGAGAGAAGGGACAAUGCUACCACUUUUUUUCCACACUUGUGCAUAUUAAGCACCAUGAUCUUCAUGAUUAAGAGUCUCUCGUUUUGUCACCACCAUAUAGCUAGUGGGAAAUUUUCAUUAUAUAACUUGGCUUGUAUAUUCCAAUGAUAGGCUUCCUCAAAAUUGCCUUAGGUCUUCGUGAGCAAGC